UUGGACAAUGGGCGAAAGCCUGAUCCAGCAAUGCCGCGUGUGUGAAGAAGGCCUUCGGGUUGUAAAGCACUUUUGUCCGGAAAGAAAUCCUUGGCUCUAAUACAGUCGGGGGAUGACGGUACCGGAAGAAUAAGCACCGGCUAACUACGUGCCAGCAGCCGCGGUAAUACGUAGGGUGCGAGCGUUAAUCGGAAUUACUGGGCGUAAAGCGUGCGCAGGCGGUUUGCUAAGACCGAUGUGAAAUCCCCGGGCUCAACCUGGGAACUGCAUUGGUGACUGGCAGGCUAGAGUAUGGCAGAGGGGGGUAGAAUUCCACGUGUAGCAGUGAAAUGCGUAGAGAUGUGGAGGAAUACCGAUGGCGAAGGCAGCCCCCUGGGCCAAUACUGACGCUCAUGCACGAAAGCGUGGGGAGCAAACAGGAUUAGAUACCCUGGUAGUCCACGCCCUAAACGAUGUCAACUAGUUGUUGGGGAUUCAUUUCCUUAGUAACGUAGCUAACGCGUGAAGUUGACCGCCUGGGGAGUACGGUCGCAAGAUUAAAACUCAAAGGAAUUGACGGGGACCCGCACAAGCGGUGGAUGAUGUGGAUUAAUUCGAUGCAACGCGAAAAACCUUACCUACCCUUGACAUGGUCGGAAUCCCGCUGAGAGGUGGGAGUGCUCGAAAGAGAACCGGCGCACAGGUGCUGCAUGGCUGUCGUCAGCUCGUGUCGUGAGAUGUUGGGUUAAGUCCCGCAACGAGCGCAACCCUUGUCCUUAGUUGCUACGCAAGAGCACUCUAAGGAGACUGCCGGUGACAAACCGGAGGAAGGUGGGGAUGACGUCAAGUCCUCAUGGCCCUUAUGGGUAGGGCUUCACACGUCAUACAAUGGUCGGAACAGAGGGUUGCCAACCCGCGAGGGGGAGCUAAUCCCAGAAAACCGAUCGUAGUCCGGAUUGCACUCUGCAACUCGAGUGCAUGAAGCUGGAAUCGCUAGUAAUCGCGGAUCAGCAUGCCGCGGUGAAUAAGAACCCCGGCCUUGUACACACCGC
rnacentral:rRNA from 1 species